rnacentral:lncRNA from 1 species
GCAGAACCACGGUGUGGGGCGGAGCUUCUAACACGGGGCGGGUGGGAGUCCGAGGACAAGAAGAGUAAGGGGCAGAGUCUUGAGCGAAAGGCGGGACUGCGGCGUACUCAGGAGCCAAGCACUGUCUUGCGGUGGUGAAGGCGGGGCGUGAACUAGGAGUGCCGCUGAAAAGAAACGUAGCCGCGGAGGAUGCCCAAUGGGGCAACGACUACUGCUCGUCCCGAAAGAGCUGCUGCUGCGGCCAGGCCAGGCUCUCGGGAUCAAGUCCACGUCCAUCCUCCUGCUGGCCCACGGUGACACACCAGAAGAAGGCGUCAGAUCUCAUCAGAGAUGGUUGUGAGCCACCAUGCAGUUGCUGGGAAACGAACUUGGAACCUCUGGAAGAGCAGUCAGUGCUCUUAACCACGGAGCCAUCUCUCCACCUUGACAUAGGAAUACUUUUAAAUAAAGUGUCU